rnacentral:rRNA from 1 species
GGAACAUCAGUCUUGAACGCAGUUGCGCCCGAGGCUAUCUGGCCAAGGGCACGCCUGCCUGGGCGUCACG